rnacentral:rRNA from 1 species
AGUGGGGAAUCUUGCGCAAUGGGCGAAAGCCUGACGCAGCAACGCCGCGUGCGGGAUGACGGCCUUCGUGGUUGUAAACCGCUUUCAGCAGGGACGAAAUUGACGGUACCUGCAGAAGAAGCCCCGGCUAACUACGUGCCAGCAGCCGCGGUAAUACGUAGGGGGCGAGCGUUGUCCGGAAUCAUUGGGCGUAAAGAGCUCGUAGGCGGUUCAGUAAGUCGGGUGUGAAAGCUCCGAGCUCAACUCGGAGAGGCCACUCGAUACUGCUGUGACUAGAAUCCAGUAGGGGAGUGUGGAAUUCCUGGUGUAGCGGUGAAAUGCGCAGAUAUCAGGAGGAACACCGGCGGCGAAGGCGGCACUCUGGGCUGGUAUUGACGCUGAGGAGCGAAAGUGUGGGUAGCAAA